AUUGAACGCUGGCGGCAUGCCUUACACAUGCAAGUCGAACGGCAGCAUGAUCUAGCUUGCUAGAUUGAUGGCGAGUGGCGAACGGGUGAGUAAUACAUCGGAACGUGCCCUGUAGUGGGGGAUAACUAGUCGAAAGAUUAGCUAAUACCGCAUACGACCUGAGGGUGAAAGUGGGGGACCGCAAGGCCUCAUGCUAUAGGAGCGGCCGAUGUCUGAUUAGCUAGUUGGUGAGGUAAAGGCUCACCAAGGCGACGAUCAGUAGCUGGUCUGAGAGGACGAUCAGCCACACUGGGACUGAGACACGGCCCAGACUCCUACGGGAGGCAGCAGUGGGGAAUUUUGGACAAUGGGCGAAAGCCUGAUCCAGCAAUGCCGCGUGUGUGAAGAAGGCCUUCGGGCUGUAAAGCACUUUUGUCCGGAAAGAAAUGGCUCUGGUUAAGACCUGGGGUCGAUGACGGUACCGGAAGAAUAAAGACCGGCUAACUACGU
rnacentral:rRNA from 1 species